rnacentral:rRNA from 1 species
CACGUAGGGAGCAAGCGUUGUCCGGAUUUAUUGGGCGUAAAGAGCUCGUAGGCGGCUCGGUAAGUCGGGUGUGAAACCUCCAGGCUCAACCUGGAGACGCCACCUGAUACUGCUGUGGCUAGAGUCCGGUAGGGGAGAGUGGAAUUCCUGGUGUAGCGGUGAAAUGCGCAGAUAUCAGGAAGAACACCCGUGGCGAAGGCGGCUCUCUGGGACGGUACUGACGGCUGAGACGCGAAAGCGUGGGGAGCAAACAGG